GCAAACUUGGUCAUUUAGAGGAAGUAAAAGUCGUAACAAGGUUUCCGUAGGUGAACCUGCGGAAGGAUCAUUAUUGAAUAACCUGGUGCUGAUGCUGGCUCUUUCGAGGGCAUGUGCUCGCAUCAUCUUAUUAUUAUCUCUUGUGCACCUUUUGUAGGCUCUGAAGCAAGUACCUUUCGCAGCACUUUUAAAGUGCUCGCGGUCUGAGGGGUUUGACGAUGCUGCAAAGCCGUCUCUCCUUACCCGCUUGCUUUAGAGUCUAUGUUUUAUAUACUCUGUUAAAGUCUUAGAAUGUCUUCUUAUUGACGAAAGUCAGUAAAUCUAUACAACUUUCAGCAACGGAUCUCUUGGCUCUCCCAUCGAUGAAGAACGCAGC
rnacentral:misc_RNA from 1 species